UGGUGGUCGUCUCGCUCCCCCCCCCCGCACCUCUGAGGGGAAAAACCACCCUCGCAACUUUGGACCGGCGAGCCGCCGGACUCAGCGUCAGGAAGUAUGGCGUGAUAUCAGGUCUCGCGAUGUAACAAAUUGCUUCACGUCACUGCACACAUACACCCCCAUUCAGGAACCGGAUAACAAGAAGAACUAUAAUAGCUA